rnacentral:tRNA from 1 species
UAGGGGAUAGAAUAAUUGGUAGUUUAAAGGACUCAUGAUCCUUUGGUGUGGGUUCGAAUCCUACUCCCCUAA